rnacentral:rRNA from 1 species
GACGAGGGGUCCUAGCGUUGUUCGGAAUCACUGGGCGUAAAGCGUAUGUAGGCGGGCUUUUAAGUCAGGUGUGAAAUCCCAUGGCUCAACCAUGGAAUUGCAUUUGAAACUGGAAGUCUUGAGUGUGGGAGAGAUUGGUAGAAUACCUAGUGUAGUGGUGAAAUACGUAGAUAUUAGGUGGAAUACCGGUGGCGAAGGCGGCCAAUUGGCCCAACACUGACGCUGAGAUACGAAAGCGUGGGGAUCAAACAGG